GACGAACGCUGGCGGCGUGCUUAGCACAUGCAAGUCGAACGGGCCUGUCUUCUUUUUUGGGGGGUGGGUUGAGUGGCGAACGGGUGAGUAUCACGUGAGUAACCUGCCCUUCGGUCCUGGAUAACCGCUUGAAAGGGCGGCUAAUACGGGGUGGUCCGGUUGGUCCGCAUGGGCUGGUCGGGAUAGAUUCACUGUUUUUGGUGUUUCGGCGGGGGAUGGGCUCGCGGCCUAUCAGCUUGUUGGUGGGGUGAUGGCCUACCAAGGCGGUGACGGGUAGCCGGCCUGAGAGGGUGGGCGGCCACACUGGGACUGAGAUACGGCCCAGACUCCUGCGGGAGGCAGCAGUGGGGGGUAUUGCACAAUGGGCGGAAGCCUGAUGCAGCGACGUCGCGUGAGGGAUGGAGGCCUUCGGGUUGUGAACCUCUGUUUCCGGUGGUGAAGGCCCUGUCCGUGUGGUGGGGUUGACGGUAGCCGGGGAUGAAGCGCCGGCUAACUACGUG
rnacentral:rRNA from 1 species